CCUUUGAUUUUUUUCACGCAUGCCUCCUCUAAUUUUAGGCAUCUUAAUCUGAUCAAUAUCAACCCCUUGUUCUCACCUCAUAUGAUCCCAUAUUUAAAUAGGGAGUAGAUAGGGUUUUUGGUUAAAGAGAUAAGAGUCCAACAAUCCUAGGACUCUUGAUUUAUGCUGCCCACCCUUUUCCUUUUUGUGCCACUUUCUUACAUGCUAACAC
rnacentral:lncRNA from 1 species